rnacentral:rRNA from 1 species
AAUACCAGCUCUCCGAGUGGUGUGGACGUUUAUUGGGCCUAAGCAUCCGUAGCUGGCUGAACAAGUCCCCUGUUAAACCCACCGAUUUAGUCGUUGGUCUGCGGGGGAUACUGCUCGGCUAGGGGACGAGAGAGGCAGACGGUAUUCCCGGGGUAGGGGUGAAAUCCUAUAAUCCCGGGAAGACCACCAGUGGC